GCUCCGGUGGUGUAGACCGGUCAAGCAUAGGAGCCUCUCAAGCUCCCGACGCGGGUUCAAAUCCCGCCCGGAGCA
rnacentral:tRNA from 1 species